rnacentral:tRNA from 1 species
GGUAUAGCCAAGUGGUAAGGCAUCAGACUUUGACUCUGACAUUCCGCUGGUUCGAGUCCAGCUAUC